CCUACGGGUGGCAGCAGUGGGGAAUAUUGGACAAUGGGGGCAACCCUGAUCCAGCCAUGCCGCGUGUGUGAAGAAGGCCCUCGGGUUGUAAAGCACUUUCAGUGAGGAAGAACGCCUGGUGGUUAAUACCCAUCAGGAAAGACAUCACUCACAGAAGAAGCACCGGCUAACUCCGUGCCAGCAGCCGCGGUAAUACGGAGGGUGCGAGCGUUAAUCGGAAUUACUGGGCGUAAAGCGCGCGUAGGUGGCUUGAUAAGCCGGUUGUGAAAGCCCCGGGCUCAACCUGGGAACGGCAUCUGGAACUGUCAAGCUAGAGUGCAGGAGAGGAAGGUAGAAUUCCCGGUGUAGCGGUGAAAUGCGUAGAGAUCGGGAGGAAUACCAGUGGCGAAGGCGGCCUUCUGGACUGACACUGACACUGAGGUGCGAAAGCGUGGGUAGCAAACAGGAUUAGAUACCCGGGUAGUC
rnacentral:rRNA from 1 species